rnacentral:misc_RNA from 1 species
UUCAAGUUGAUCUACAAAUGUACCUAGAUACAGAAAAAAUUUAGAUGUAAAUACUAGUACAUAGAACAAACAAGCUCAUCUCGCAAACCGCAAUCAUUAGUACAAAGCUAGAAGACACUGUAGCAUUUUCAAGUGUAAUGCACAGUGGGAAGAAUGUUCAGAACUGUAGUUGUUGUGCUGCAAACUGAAAGAGAUAGUGCCACUGCUAAAUGGAAUGGUCCAAAACCAGAAUUCUGAUGAAAAAAAGAUCAGUUCCUCCACUUUUCACCAGUAUAAACUGCUUGAUCACCAAGCUCUUCUUCAAUUCUAAGCAACUGGUUGUACUUUGCAAGUCGUUCUCCUCGGCAAGGGGCACCAGCUUUAAUUUGACUAGUAGCUAAG